rnacentral:rRNA from 1 species
AACAAGGUUUCCGUAGGUGAACCUGCGGAGGGAUCAUUG